AAUUCCCACGGUGCGUACUGAACUAUGUACCGUAGCGCAUAAGUUAUGACCUGCAGACGAUUGGGAACAUGAACUAUGCAGUAGCAAAAAUACCAUUGAAAUUCAAGCAGUCGUUUGUGCACUAAUCGGAAUCGAGGAAUGAGCAGGGAAUUUAUGAUACUGUGAGGAUCCUACAAAAAAAUCCUACGCCUGGAUUGUGAUUUUCAUACGCCAACUGAAAGUCCUUGUGACCUUGCAAAACAGUGUGUAUUCUUCUCUUGUCGCCAUUUUCAACCUCGUUUAGAAUACCACGAUACUCCUUGACUUCUCCACUGAGAAUCUUCAACUCCCUUGAGGCGUGAAGUACAAAUGAUGUUCGGGGCAACGACCGAUUUCAUCCUCUUUUCGAUGGGUCUCCCCUGUCCUUACCAUGGAGACGUUUGGCUAGAGGUCCUCUUGCUUUAUCCAAGGGGGUAUCCCCAUCUUUAUUAGCAAUGGAAACAAGUGCCCCAGCUGCGACCAGGUCCUCAGCGACUGCUUGAUCCCCCCAGAAGCAGGCAUAGUGGAGAGCCGUGUUACCGUGCUCAUUAGUAACAUUGACGUCUGCUCUGUUGCGUAAAAGCUGCGCCAAAAAAGGUCAUUGGAUACUAAUAGAAAUAUGAACGACAGAAAUUGAGCCAUUAACUCACCAAUUGUACUAUUUCCCUGUUGCCGUGGGCAGAGGCUAGGUGAAGAGGAGUGUCAUCACCUCGAUUAGUGGCAUUUAUUCUCGCACCUCUGCUAACAAGAAGUUCUGCUAGUUUCGAGUGGCCCUCUUUCGCACACCAAUGGAGCGGACUGAAUCCAUGAUCAUCCCUGCAAAUAAAAAUUAAUUAAAAUUGAAUUAAUGUGUUAAUAAAGCUGCGAGCAGAAAUAACUUAAUUUCAGUUCAGAAUUAGCUGGUGGAAAAUAUGUCAAAGAAUUUAAAAAAAAUGAAUUUAUAAGAUAAAA